UUUAUGGAGAGUUUGAUCCUGGCUCAGGAUGAACGCUGGCGGCGUGCCUAAUACAUGCAAGUCGAGCGAACGGACGAGAAGCUUGCUUCUCUGAUGUUAGCGGCGGACGGGUGAGUAACACGUGGAUAACCUACCUAUAAGACUGGGAUAACUUCGGGAAACCGGAGCUAAUACCGGAUAAUAUUUUGAACCGCAUGGUUCAAAAGUGAAAGACGGUCUUGCUGUCACUUAUAGAUGGAUUCGCGCUGCAUUAGCUAGUUGGUAAGGUAAUGGCUUACCAAGGCAACGAUGCAUAGCCGACCUGAGAGGGUGAUCGGCCACACUGGAACUGAGACACGGUCCAGACUCCUACGGGAGGCAGCAGUAGGGAAUCUUCCGCAAUGGGCGAAAGCCUGACGGAGCAACGCCGCGUGAGUGAUGAAGGUCUUCGGAUCGUAAAACUCUGUUAUUAGGGAAGAACAUAUGUGUAAGUAACUGUGCACAUCUUGACGGUACCUAAUCAGAAAGCCACGGCUAACUACGUGCCAGCAGCCGCGGUAAUACGUAGGUGGCAAGCGUUAUCCGGAAUUAUUGGGCGUAAAGCGCGCGUAGGCGGUUUUUUAAGUCUGAUGUGAAAGCCCACGGCUCAACCGUGGAGGGUCAUUGGAAACUGGAAAACUUGAGUGCAGAAGAGGAAAGUGGAAUUCCAUGUGUAGCGGUGAAAUGCGCAGAGAUAUGGAGGAACACCAGUGGCGAAGGCGACUUUCUGGUCUGUAACUGACGCUGAUGUGCGAAAGCGUGGGGAUCAAACAGGAUUAGAUACCCUGGUAGUCCACGCCGUAAACGAUGAGUGCUAAGUGUUAGGGGGUUUCCGCCCCUUAGUGCUGCAGCUAACGCAUUAAGCACUCCGCCUGGGGAGUACGACCGCAAGGUUGAAACUCAAAGGAAUUGACGGGGACCCGCACAAGCGGUGGAGCAUGUGGUUUAAUUCGAAGCAACGCGAAGAACCUUACCAAAUCUUGACAUCCUUUGACAACUCUAGAGAUAGAGCUUUCCCCUUCGGGGGACAAAGUGACAGGUGGUGCAUGGUUGUCGUCAGCUCGUGUCGUGAGAUGUUGGGUUAAGUCCCGCAACGAGCGCAACCCUUAAGCUUAGUUGCCAUCAUUAAGUUGGGCACUCUAAGUUGACUGCCGGUGACAAACCGGAGGAAGGUGGGGAUGACGUCAAAUCAUCAUGCCCCUUAUGAUUUGGGCUACACACGUGCUACAAUGGACAAUACAAAGGGCAGCGAAACCGCGAGGUCAAGCAAAUCCCAUAAAGUUGUUCUCAGUUCGGAUUGUAGUCUGCAACUCGACUACAUGAAGCUGGAAUCGCUAGUAAUCGUAGAUCAGCAUGCUACGGUGAAUACGUUCCCGGGUCUUGUACACACCGCCCGUCACACCACGAGAGUUUGUAACACCCGAAGCCGGUGGAGUAACCUUUUAGGAGCUAGCCGUCGAAGGUGGGACAAAUGAUUGGGGUGAAGUCGUAACAAGGUAGCCGUAUCGGAAGGUGCGGCUGGAUCACCUCCUUUCU
rnacentral:rRNA from 1 species